rnacentral:rRNA from 1 species
CAAUAGAUACCCGGGUAGUCCACGCCGUAAACGAUGUCGACUUGGAGGUUGUUCCCUUGAGGAGGUGGCGUUCCGGAGCUAACGCGUUAAGUCGACCGCCUGGGGAGUACGGCCGCAAGGUUAAAACUCAAAUGAAUUGACGGGGGCCCGCACAAGCGGUGGAGCAUGUGGUUUAAUUCGAUGCAACGCGAAGAACCUUACCUACUCUUGACAUCCAGAGAACUUAGCAGAGAUGCUUUGGUGCCUUCGGGAACUCUGAGACAGGUGCUGCAUGGCUGUCGUCAGCUCGUGUUGUGAAUGUUGGGUUAAGUCCCGCAACGAGCGCAACCCUUAUCCUUUGUUGCCAGCGGUUCGGCCGGGAACUCAAAGGAGACUGCCAGUGAUAAACUGGAGGAAGGUGGGGAUGACGUCAAGUCAUCAUGGCCCUUACGAGUAGGGCUACACACGUGCUACAAUGGCGUAUACAAAGAGAAGCGACCUCGCGAGAGCAAGCGGACCUCAUAAAGUACGUCGUAGUCCGGAUUGGAGUCUGC